GAUGAACGCUGGCGGCGUGCCUAAUACAUGCCAGUCGAGCGAACAGACGAGGAGCUUGCUCCUCUGACGUUAGCGGCGGACGGGUGAGUAACACGUGGAUAACCUACCUAUAAGACUGGGAUAACUUCGGGAAACCGGAGCUAAUACCGGAUAAUAUAUUGAACCGCAUGGUUCAAUAGUGAAAGACGGUUUUGCUGUCACUUAUAGAUGGAUCCGCGCCGCAUUAGCUAGUUGGUAAGGUAACGGCUUACCAAGGCAACGAUGCGUAGCCGACCUGAGAGGGUGAUCGGCCACACUGGAACUAAGACACGGUCCAGACUCCUACGGGAGGCAGCAGUAGGGAAUCUUCCGCAAUGGGCGAAAGCCUGACGGAGCAACGCCGCGUGAGUGAUGAAGGUCUUCGGAUCGUAAAACUCUGUUAUUAGGGAAGAACAAAUGUGUAAGUAACUAUGCACGUCUUGACGGUACCUAAUCAGAAAGCCACGGCUAACUACGUG
rnacentral:rRNA from 1 species